GAUAAUAUUUAUUUUCUUACUAUGCUAGUAGUUGGUACUUAGGUUUAUCUAGUUUGUAUUUUUCCCUGGAGGGAAAAUAAUUUGGUCCUAGAGCAUAUUGGGUGGGGUGCUUGACGAAAUGUGAGUUAAAGAAUACAUCCUUUGGCAGAAGGGACACAUCUUACUAUUGAAAAUGUAAACUGAGUACUUAUGGGAUGGAAGAUGAGGGUUACUGGGGAGAAGAUUGAUUGGCACUCUUGGUAGUUGAUUCGCCCAUUGACUUUUUGCUUCUGUUUCUUGAUGUGCCUUUCUAGAAGCCAUUUGUUGCUGUUGGAUUACGAUUUCAGUGCUCCUACACUGCCUUCCUGGACAGUUAUUCCAUAGGUGGCAUUCACAUCAUCCAGACUCCUCCAUUGUCUUGCUUGUUUUUCGCCAUUAUACUUAGGGAAUGUUCUGGAAAUGCAACAUCCUGAGGUUAGGAGGGAGAUGCAUAGAACAUUCUAGGCUCAGUUCUAGCUUUUCAUAGAACAAGGUUUUCACCACAUUCUCACAGUCAGUAAUAUGACCAUGGAGACAUAAAUUCCAAUGCACUUUGCUUUUGGGGAACUUCUCAUCUGGUAUAAGUGGAACAGUCAAGGCCUCAUCUACUCCAGGAAGUUUUCUGGGCUAAGACUUAGAGCAAAUUCUUGACUUCUGUUGUGUCUUGCUGCCUAUCUGAAAGUAAUAAAACUGCUUCAUGUAAAUUCAUCUACAUGUGGGUAUUCUGUUUCAUCAGAUAGAUGAGUUGAUAAUCAGUACACAAUGAAAUGGCUUCAUACUUCCUGCUAUCUGAAGUCCUUAAGCAUGAGAAGGAAUGAUUGAUGGCGUGUGAGUGAGUGGUGCCUGUCAAAUCCACAAACAAGACUGCUGCAAUUCAUUGUUAGCUCGGCCAAGUUAACAAUGGUUGCACAGCGCAGGACCAAUUGGGCUUUAAACUAAAUCCCUAUUUCUGUGCAAACGGCUGAUUUGUUGACUCCUUCUAGAGUAAGGCUGGCUACAUGGAACCGUGAGAAGCUGAACUGUGGAGACAAGAACAGUAUUUUUUCCCCAAUGGUCAAGUUCUGUGGUGGCCUUCUGGAACAGAUUGAAUUACUUCCACAUCUUCUGAUUGAACACGUUUAUUUCCAAGCACCAAGAGCAACAGGAGCUCCUUCAGACUGUAUCAGCUUACAAGCCAGUGUGCAAAGACAGGAUGAAAAACCACAGGCUUAUGGGAUGCUUCCUGUAGGGGCCAAAUUGCUUGCCACUCUUGCUUCACCAAGCUGUCUAGAAAAACAUUUGGUUUCCAGAUGUUCAGUAUGACAGGACCCUUGUUCUUUUUCAG
rnacentral:lncRNA from 1 species